AGUGUGUGUGCAAAAUAGCCCCUAAACUAUCAAAAACCUAACAUUUAAACCCUCACGACUAAACGACGUUAGUCAACGUUUGGUCAAUUUUUUUUUUUUUUUAUUUAUUUCAACACUGUCUUCAUCUCUCGGCGGGAGCACCGGCGGGGGUGGUGCUGCUUCUACCGACACGGCCGGCGUGGCGGCGGUUUCGGACACUAACCCUUCCCCGAAAUGGCAGCAAGACUCCACCACUGACCAGCUCCAAUGCCGGAGGCGGAGCCGACCUGCUCCCAGUCCUGCCUUCUCUCGACGGUGGCGGCGGCAACCCGG
rnacentral:lncRNA from 1 species